ACGCGAGCCGUUCCCCCUCCGGUCUCCUCCUUCUGCGCCUGGGGUUUCCUCCUUCCACUCGAAGCCAGCCUCCCCUCCGCUCUCGACUUCUACCCCCACUCCCUCCCUCCCUCCCCCGCCUCCCCACCCGGCUCCGGCUCCGACUCCAACUCCCGCCCCCGCCCCCAGAGGACCGCGGAGCCGCCGCCCCGCACGAGGACCGCCCCUUCACCGCCCGCGGCCGCGACGGAGGGCAUUGCCGGCGGUGCUUCUGUGUGAUUUAGGUCGGCUGCUCGGUAUCUGCUCGUGCCCGGCGACGGCGCGAUGUUCUACUCCAAGACGAUGCUGUCCAAGAAGGGCCCGCUGGGCGCGGUGUGGGUGGCCGGCGUCUGCGGCGUCGCCGCGCUCACCAGGGACCAGGUCCUGCGCACCGACGUCGCCUCCUCCGUUGACAAGAUUUUACCCGACGUUGAAACCACCUACAGAAUACUUGGGUUGCUUCUGCUUGGCGUUGUUAGGAUUUACUGCAAGAAGGUGGAAUACCUCUGCUAUGACAGCAAUCAGUUUUUUGAAUCUACUGUAAGAGGGAAGAAAGUUCUAAAGCGAGGGAAGAAAGGUGUUUGUGCAAGAAGAUUGGUGCUAGACCAAGAAGACACUAGAAGAGCGAAAAGAGUUGCUGUAGUUCAAGUCCCAGAAUUGGACGAACCAGCUGAUCUUCCACCAAUCUUCACCGUACCCAAAAGAUUUGAGCUCGACUCUUUUGAUUUGCAGAUACCUGAAGACAGAGAGGAUGACAAUGAUGAUCAUCACCAAUUGCCUCGUCAAGAUACUUUGUUGGAAGAUGAACAUCAGCGUAUGCCAAAUUUGUACGAGGGGAUGCCAUAUGCUGAUCUGGACUCUGCUUACGUUGUGCCAGUAUGCAUCAUCCCAACUGAAAUGAUCAGUGUCACUGAUGAAGUCACCGAUCUUCUGUACUUGAGUAACAUAGGGGAUGAACUUGAAAAUGAAAGUCAGAAUCCUGAUCCUGCUUGCUUUACACCAGUGAAGGAUGUUCUUCCACCUGAGGCGAUGGAUAUGAUGGCUGAAGCAAGUGACCUUCCAGAGAAAAGCAAAGAGGUGAAGAAAGCUAGAAGAGAAGUGAAUGGUGAAGAGAAUGGUGAUCCUGCUUGUUCUACCCCUUUGCCGGAGAAUCAAGAAAUGCAAAGACCUGUGAAUGCUGUGGAGAAUGUGGUGUGUGCAGAUCUUGAUGAAAAUCAUCCUGUAGUCGAAGAAUCAGAAAAUGGGUUAGCGGUAGGAAAACCGAACACAGCACUAUCUGUAGAAAUUCCUGACAUCGAGGAACAAGAGUCUCUGGAACCUUCCACUCCAGAGCCCUUGCGAGAGGGAGCCUCAGAAAAAUUUGUGGUUGCAACACCUGCUCAAAAUGAGAAGCGCCAGGUUACCAGAAAAAGGAGGAGGGGGUUACACAAUAAGAGAAAAGUUUGGGUGCUGUGGGAUGAGAAUGUUAUCCUUGAUAAUGACACGAUGAGAGAAAUGGUAGAUGGGGUUGGUGUAGAGGAUCUUGUCGUCAAAAGAAGGAAGGCGCCUCACACUCGCCAUCAGAUUUGGAGGGAGCCAAGAUUCCGUUCUCUGCAGGAUACUUUCAUGGAGCCAAUUAUUCAAUGUGGCGCUUUCCUGGAGCCAAUUAUUCAAUAUUCGACUACAGUGCGCCUUAAUUCUACUACAGCUGAUGCCUCAUGUGGGGAAUCCGUUAAAGCAAAGAAGUGUCUUUCAUAUGAACCUGCUGAAUCCAACAAUCCCCACAAGGAAGCUGCAAAUGAAGAAACAGAAUGUGUCCCAGAUGAACUGACAAAUGGCAUCCAGACUCCUGUUGGGUGCUACAAUCAAAGUCAGCAAAGUCAAGAUGUUUGUGAAUGCAAUGAUGAAACACCCUAUGAAAAGAACAACACACUAGUCAAUGGAGAUGAAUCAGUGCUGCCAGAAGAGAGAUUGUAUGAAUCAACCAGUCACAGUGCAUUGCGCAAUGAAUCAUUGACUGCUGAUAUAGAUGCGGAUAUUCCUAUGGAUGAAGAGCAUGCUGCCAGAGAUGAAGAUUUCCCGCUUUCAACAAGAACUAGGGCAGUAGCAAAGUGCCUCCAUCAGCUAUUCUUGGACCAGAAGUCCCAGGAGCAAAGUAAUGUCCCUGUGACGCUCGGCCAAGCCCUUGAAGGCAGCAAGAGGAAAACCACAGCAAGAUUCUUCUAUGAAACUCUGAUCCUCAAGAGCCGCGGGUUGAUAGACGUGAAUCAGGAGAAGCCCUAUGAGAACAUCACAAUCUCUGCAACUCCACAACUCAACGCGAUGCUGCAGAAUCCAGUGCCCCCUUCAACUUCUUAGCAGCAGCAUGUCAGGGUAGGUGGGUAGUUUUAGGAGAAGAGGACUCAAGUUUCAGCUUUUCGCUAUAUCCCGUAGCAUCAUCUCGAGGAUAUGUACUGGUGACAGGCCAGUUGUAUAUAUGGAUCGUUCGUUCGUAUGGGUCAGGAUUACAUAGAGAGAGCUUUAGGAUCUUGCUCGGUUAAGUUAACGGCAGGCCUAGUUUCUUGCUGGUCGCAUGCGGGAUGUAAGUUAGCUGAGGAGGGGGUUUAUUCAGAUUGCAGUUUCUUGCCGGUUGCAUAUUGAAUGCUGAUGGCAUCUGCCAAUGAGUAAAAUAGCAGGCAAAACACUCUGCCUGGUUUGAUUGAUGCCGAGCGCGAGCAAUUUCUUUUCUUGGUAAUUUUUGGAUCAGUUUUCUUGGCAGUUUCUUUUCUUAG
rnacentral:rRNA from 1 species